rnacentral:rRNA from 1 species
AUACGGAGGGGGCUAGCGUUGUUCGGAAUUACUGGGCGUAAAGCGCACGUAGGCGGAUUAAAAAGUUAGAGGUGAAAUCCCAGGGCUUAACCCUGGAACUGCCUUUAAAACUAGUAGUCUAGAGUUCGAGAGAGGUGAGUGGAAUUCCAAGUGUAGAGGUGAAAUUCGUAGAUAUUUGGAGGAACACCAGUGGCGAAGGCGGCUCACUGGCUCGAUACUGACGAUGAGGUGCGAAAGCGUGGGGAGCAAACAGGAUUAGAAACCCCAGUAGUCC